AUGCACGAAAGCGUGGGGAGCAAACAGGAUUAGAUACCCUCGUAGUCCACGCCCUAAACGAUGUCAACUAGCUGUUGGGGCCUUCGGGCCUUGGUAGCGCAGCUAACGCGUGAAGUUGACCGCCUGGGGAGUACGGUCGCAAGAUUAAAACUCAAAGGAAUUGACGGGGACCCGCACAAGCGGUGGAUGAUGUGGAUUAAUUCGAUGCAACGCGAAAAACCUUACCUACCCUUGACAUGUCUGGAAUCCCGAAGAGAUUUGGGAGUGCUCGCAAGAGAACCGGAACACAGGUGCUGCAUGGCUGUCGUCAGCUCGUGUCCUGAGAUGUUGGGUUAAGUCCCGCAACGAGCGCAACCCUUGUCAUUAGUUGCUACGAAAGGGCACUCUAAUGAGACUGCCGGUGACAAACCGGAGGAAGGUGGGGAUGACGUCAAGUCCUCAUGGCCCUUAUGGGUAGGGCUUCACACGUCAUACAAUGGUCGGGACAGAGGGUCGCCAACCCGCGAGGGGGAGCCAAUCCCAGAAACCCGUUCGUAGUCCGGAUCGCAGUCUGCAACUCGACUGCGUGAAGUCGGAAUCGCUAGUAAUCGCGGAUCAGCAUGUCGCGGUGAAUACGUUCCCGGGUCUUGUACACACCGCCCGUCACACCAUGGGAGUGGGUUUUACCAGAAGUAGUUAGCCUAACCGUAAGGAGGGCGAUUACCACGGUAGGAUUCAUGACU
rnacentral:rRNA from 1 species